rnacentral:misc_RNA from 1 species
CCCUUUAGAAAAUUUGGACCCCAAAUACAUUGAACUACAAGAAGACUUAGUUCCAUGGCUUUCAGCAAUAAUCUCCAUACCCUCCCUGUCCUUGCAUGCUGAAGCCUUGGAAUAUCUGAGAUGGACCCUUCUCGGUCCAUUUUCAGGAAGAUUGGUUGCGAGUGCAUCAGGAUCUAAUCCAACUUCUGAUUCUUCCCGCAUAUCAAUUUCUGCUCUUAGCUCUGCGCAAUCCAAGGCAUCAUCACACAGAAUUUGCAGAAUCAUCAGC